UACGUAGGGGGCUAGCGUUGUCCGGAAUCAUUGGGCGUAAAGAGCGUGUAGGCGGCCCGGUAAGUCCGCUGUAAAAGUCAAAGGCUCAACCUUUGAAUGUCAGUGGAUACUGCCGGGCUAGAGUCCGGAAGAGGCGAGUGGAACUCCUGGUGUAGCGGUGGAAUGCGCAGAUAUCAGGAAGAACACCGGUGGCGAAGGCGGGUCUCUGGGCCGAAAUUGACGCUGAGACGCGAAAGCGUGGGGAGCAAACAGG
rnacentral:rRNA from 1 species